UGGUUUGAUUAUGGCUCAGGACGAACGCUGGCGGCGUGCCUAAUACAUGCAAGUCGAACGCUUCUUUUUCCACCGGAGCUUGCUCCACCGGAAAAAGAGGAGUGGCGAACGGGUGAGUAACACGUGGGUAACCUGCCCAUCAGAAGGGGAUAACACUUGGAAACAGGUGCUAAUACCGUAUAACAAUCGAAACCGCAUGGUUUUGAUUUGAAAGGCGCUUUCGGGUGUCGCUGAUGGAUGGACCCGCGGUGCAUUAGCUAGUUGGUGAGGUAACGGCUCACCAAGGCGACGAUGCAUAGCCGACCUGAGAGGGUGAUCGGCCACAUUGGGACUGAGACACGGCCCAAACUCCUACGGGAGGCAGCAGUAGGGAAUCUUCGGCAAUGGACGAAAGUCUGACCGAGCAACGCCGCGUGAGUGAAGAAGGUUUUCGGAUCGUAAAACUCUGUUGUUAGAGAAGAACAAGGAUGAGAGUAACUGUUCAUCCCUUGACGGUAUCUAACCAGAAAGCCACGGCUAACUACGUGCCAGCAGCCGCGGUAAUACGUAGGUGGCAAGCGUUGUCCGGAUUUAUUGGGCGUAAAGCGAGCGCAGGCGGUUUCUUAAGUCUGAUGUGAAAGCCCCCGGCUCAACCGGGGAGGGUCAUUGGAAACUGGGAGACUUGAGUGCAGAAGAGGAGAGUGGAAUUCCAUGUGUAGCGGUGAAAUGCGUAGAUAUAUGGAGGAACACCAGUGGCGAAGGCGGCUCUCUGGUCUGUAACUGACGCUGAGGCUCGAAAGCGUGGGGAGCAAACAGGAUUAGAUACCCUGGUAGUCCACGCCGUAAACGAUGAGUGCUAAGUGUUGGAGGGUUUCCGCCCUUCAGUGCUGCAGCUAACGCAUUAAGCACUCCGCCUGGGGAGUACGACCGCAAGGUUGAAACUCAAAGGAAUUGACGGGGGCCCGCACAAGCGGUGGAGCAUGUGGUUUAAUUCGAAGCAACGCGAAGAACCUUACCAGGUCUUGACAUCCUUUGACCACUCUAGAGAUAGAGCUUCCCCUUCGGGGGCAAAGUGACAGGUGGUGCAUGGUUGUCGUCAGCUCGUGUCGUGAGAUGUUGGGUUAAGUCCCGCAACGAGCGCAACCCUUAUUGUUAGUUGCCAUCAUUUAGUUGGGCACUCUAGCAAGACUGCCGGUGACAAACCGGAGGAAGGUGGGGAUGACGUCAAAUCAUCAUGCCCCUUAUGACCUGGGCUACACACGUGCUACAAUGGGAAGUACAACGAGUCGCAAAGUCGCGAGGCUAAGCUAAUCUCUUAAAGCUUCUCUCAGUUCGGAUUGUAGGCUGCAACUCGCCUACAUGAAGCCGGAAUCGCUAGUAAUCGCGGAUCAGCACGCCGCGGUGAAUACGUUCCCGGGCCUUGUACACACCGCCCGUCACACCACGAGAGUUUGUAACACCCGAAGUCGGUGAGGUAACCUUUUGGAGCCAGCCGCCUAAGGUGGGAUAGAUGAUUGGGGUGAAGUCGUAACAAGGUACCC
rnacentral:rRNA from 1 species